GACGAACGCUGGCGGCGUGCCUAAUACAUGCAAGUGGGACGCAAGGGAACACACUGUGCUUGCACACCGUGUUUUCUUGAGUCGCGAACGGGUGAGUAACGCGUAGGUAACCUGCCUAUUAGCGGGGGAUAACUAUUGGAAACGAUAGCUAAUACCGCAUAAUAUUAAUUAUUGCAUGAUAAUUGAUUGAAAGAUGCAAGCGCAUCACUAGUAGAUGGACCUGCGUUGUAUUAGCUAGUUGGUAAGGUAAGAGCUUACCAAGGCGACGAUACAUAGCCGACCUGAGAGGGUGAUCGGCCACACUGGGACUGAGACACGGCCCAGACUCCUACGGGAGGCAGCAGUAGGGAAUCUUCGGCAAUGGACGAAAGUCUGACCGAGCAACGCCGCGUGAGUGAAGAAGGUUUUCGGAUCGUAAAGCUCUGUUGUAAGUCAAGAACGUGUGUGAGAGUGGAAAGUUCACACAGGGAC
rnacentral:rRNA from 1 species